rnacentral:rRNA from 1 species
UGGUCAAGUUAUUAAGGGUGCAGGGCGGAUGCCUUGGCACUAGGAGCCGAUGAAGGACGUGAUAAGCUGCGAUAAGCUUCGGGGAGUUGCACGUAAACUUUGAUCCGAAGAUUUCCGAAUGAGGAAACUCACUUAGAGUAAUGUCUAAGUAUCAUUAAGUGAAUACAUAGCUUAAUGAGGGGAACUCAGGGAACUGAAACAUCUAAGUACCUGAAGGAAGAGAAAGAAAUUCGAUUCCGUAAGUAGCGGCGAGCGAACGCGGAUUAGCCCAAACUAAUAAAGUUUUCUUUAUUGGGGUUGCGGACAUAUCAUAACGAAGAGGUAUCGUAAUUGAAGAGGUUUGGAAAGACCCACCACAGA